CCAGCUGUCACCUGUGACAACUGCAAGGAGGCCAGUCUGCAAGCAUGCUGAGCACUGCCUGUGUUCAUCCAAGGCCAAGCAGGGCCCAGCAAUUGCAGAACACUUUGCCAGCUGAAGCUACAGAGGGAUCCUUCCUAAUACUGUAAAACCAACGAGGAAAUUGGGUGUUCCCUUCCUAGAGACACCCCUGCCCGUUAGUUACCCCAUUACACACAGCUGUGCGUGCUCUGGCCACAACCAAGGCUGGGCACCCCUUACCCCACAGGUCACACUUCUUCGUUGCAAACCAAAAGGGAGGAGCAGUGGUGAUUUCAUACACUGGAGACCUGGAGCCAUUAUUUCAUGCAUGCCUAAGGGAUGCCACCGAGCUGCCAGCAGGGCCCAGAGCUGGGCACAGUGAGCUCCUCUCACCCUUGCCCUACCCCACAGGACACCCAUCUGGGCUCGCUGUCCCACGGGCAGGGCACCUUCAUGUCGUGAAACGCCUCGCUGCUUCUCCCACCGCCACGGUGCUGCUCUGUAGGUGGGUGACGGGAAGAGCUGCAGCAAAUUGGAUUUAAAUUCCUGCCUCUCUCCCGCACUUCACAGGCAAUUCACUCCUUCCCUUCCUUAUAGAUGGAUAACAGAAAACAGAAGAGGGGAAAGCAGCGCUGCAGACUGCUAUCAUGCCUGGUUCAUGAACUCUGCGAGGCAGGGGCUGUGUUGAGCCUUGCCCAAGAAGUCCACAGGCCUGCAAGGGGCUGCUUGCAAUAUCACCCCCCCAUGCCCACAUUCACAAUAGCCACUAAAAUUCACGCACUCUGUAAAACCCCUUGGAUAAAAAGCAUGAGUGUUGCCAGUUUUAAUCUUUCAAAAAUGUUGUGUGUGGCCUUAGAACAGAAUGAUAUAGCCUUCAAAAUAAUAAGACUUAACCAACCCAAAAGUAUUUGGAGUAUUUUUCAUCUGUUUUCUCAUUUGGACCCUCGAGGCUUCAUAUUUUCAAGUGAAGUUGUUUUCUUCCAGGAUCAAGAGAGCUGGAAAUGCUAGUCUAAAAAAAAUAAAAAUAAAUAGAAAGCUGAGAAUCUCAUUCAGCCUCUUGAUUCCAGGAGCUCAAAUAAAGACCACAAGUCUCAAAUAAAAUCCACAAACAUCACAAGCUUCACGAUGACAUUCAACAAGAGAUGGCAACGUUCAGUGAGCAUGAAAUGAUAAUUCCCACCUCGCUGGAUCUGGUUUUAU